AGAGUUUGAUCCUGGCUCAGGAUGAACGCUAGCGGCAGGCCUAAUACAUGCACCUAAUACAUGCAAGUCGAACGGUGUAGCAAUACACAGUGGCGCACGGGUGCGUAACACGUAUGCAACCUACCUAUUAUUGGGGGAUAGCCUUUGGAAACGGAGAUUAAUACCGCAUAAGACAGUGACAUGGCAUCAUGUAGCUGUUAAAGCUUUGGCGAUAAUAGAUGGGCAUGCGUCCAAUUAGUUAGUUGGUGAGGUAAUGGCUCACCAAGACGAUGAUUGGUAGGGGAUCUGAGAGGAUAAUCCCCCACACUGGCACUGAGAUACGGGCCAGACUCCUACGGGAGGCAGCAGUAGGGAAUAUUGGGCAAUGGACGGAAGUCUGACCCAGCCAUGCCGCGUGCAGGAUGAAGGCGUUAUGCGUUGUAAACUGCUUUUUUAUAGGAAGAAGACUCCCUUGCGAGGGAAAGUGACGGUACUAUAAGAAUAAGCACCGGCUAACUCCGUGCCAGCAGCCGCGGUAAUACGGAGGGUGCGAGCGUUGUCCGGAUUUAUUGGGUUUAAAGGGUGCGUAGGCGGUUUAUUAAGUCAGUGGUGAAAGACGGUCGCUCAACGAUUGCAGUGCCAUUGAUACUGGUAGACUUGAGUUCGUAUGAGGUAGCUGGAAUGGAUAGUGUAGCGGUGAAAUGCAUAGAUAUUAUCCAGAACUCCAAUUGCGUAGGCAGGUUACUAAUACGAUACUGACGCUGAUGCACGAAAGUGUGGGGAUCAAACAGGAUUAGAUACCCUGGUAGUCCACACUGUAAACGAUGAUGACUAACUGUUUGCCCUUUGGGGUGAGUGGUACAGAGAAAUCGUUAAGUCAUCCACCUGGGGAGUACGCCGGCAACGGUGAAACUCAAAGGAAUUGACGGGGGUCCGCACAA
rnacentral:rRNA from 1 species